rnacentral:rRNA from 1 species
GGCUGAAAUUCGCCUUCAUGAAGCCGGAAUUGCUAGUAAUGGCAGGUCAGCAUACUGCCGUGAAUACGUUCCCGGGCCUUGUACACACCGCCCGUCACACCAUGAGAGUUGGGAAUACCCGAAGCCUGUGAGCCAACUUUUAAAGAGGCAGCAGUCGAAGGUAGAAUCAAUGAUUGGGGUGAAGUCGUAACAAGGUACC